rnacentral:lncRNA from 1 species
CAAUCACCAUUCCUCAGUUUUCCACACUGUCUAAUUUCGUUUUCUUUCAACUCUAAAAAAGUUUGAAAAAUGGGGUCACGAAACGAAGUCGAGCGGUUGCCAGCACCAUAUGGUAACCAACAUGAAGCUCCGCCGGCGCCAGAUGUGGAGGAGAAGAAGAACAAAUUUGGUCGGAUGGGGACAGGAAUGGCUGCCGGCGCGGUAGCAGGGGUGGUAGGUGGAAUUGCAUCGAACUGGAAAAAAAUACAGCAAUGGAUAAAAGAAAGAAAAGAAAGGAAAAGAAGACGAUGAAAAAGAUAUAUGCGAAGAAGACUUGAACACUUAAAAUUUGUUGUUCGUAUUUGCCUCCUCUGCUUUUAAAGGAUUAAAAUGGUAAGUAGUUUGUAGUACGUGUCAAGCCAAAGUAAUUCUCCAAUUGUUGGAUGAAUAAUAGAUUGAUUAUUUAUAAUUUUCAAUUCAGACGUGCCGGACGUCCAGGCGCCUAUUUGGCGCCCCCCUAUUGGGGGGUCGCCUGUCACUGUCAGACGACCCCCCAAUAGGGGGGGGCGCCAAAUAGGCCCCAGGACGUCCAGGCCGCUGGACGUCCAGUUUUAUUCUUUUCAAUUAUCCCUACCCAAAGUGGUUACAGCUCAAUAAGAAAAUGGGACCGAGUUUUUUCCAUAGGGGUCUUACCGACCCGUUACUGUAGGGGUCGGUCCCACAUGAAAAAAAAAAAUACGUUGGACCCGCGAUUGUAAGAGAUCCGACAAGGUCUGUAAAAUAGACACCUGUAAGUGUAGCAGCGUUCAAGAAAAUUUGAAAUGAUUCACCGAGAAAAUCACUAGAAAAUUCGAAAAAAUCCAGCCAAUGGCUAUAUUUUAAUAUUAUGCGACCGCAUAGGUUAUAGCCAUGUGUUCACAUAACUAUAGCAUCGAUCGCCUUUUUAGUCACUGAAGGCACUCAUGCGAUUGUAGGCCUCAAAAGCCUAUGCAGUCGCAUAAACAAUAUUAUGGCAUGGUUUUUUCAUUUUUUUUUUUUUUUGUUAAUUUUCAAUUCAUUCACACUUGAUUUUGAUCAACAAGAUUACAACAAUUCCCCACUUGUUCAAAAUCAAUGUUAAUUACCUAAUCAAAUAUCAACACUC